rnacentral:lncRNA from 1 species
AAUCAUCUCAAUGCUUGCUUUUUAAUUAGUUUGUUCAAUUUGCUGAGUCUGCUCUUUCUUUGUUUUCUAAUUAUGACAGAGAAUCUGAAACAGAUGCAGAAGAAGCAUGACCUACUUGAAAAAUCAGCAGCCAGGCCUGUAAGCUUUGUGGAGUGAUGUUAACACUAAGGAAUUAUCAAUUCAAGUGAAUUCCAAUAUGCAAUUGAAGUCAUUAGUAUGGAUUGGUGUCAAAUUUUCAAGCAUUUACCUUAUUUAUUGAAUGGCCUAAUACUUAUAAAUGGUAAUGAGGAGAGGGUGGAGUAGAAAGAUAAGGAUAGACUCUAAUACUAUGGUCCUUAGGGCUUCUAUCUGAAUUUCAGGAUUACUGUCAAAUAAAUAUUUAUUAGUGUCCUUUCUCUAUAUGUAGACACUAACUAUAAAUAUAGAUGACUGGCUAAAAAUUAAGUGUUAAGCUGGAAUUAGAUAUUGAAACUGAGUACCAAUAUUGUCCUUAGUAAAUCUCCCCUGGGAUAUUAUUCUGUGCAUAAAAUGUAUUUUUCUGCACAUAUUAAUUAAAACUUUUUAAAUGAUCACUGAAACUGUAUCUCCUGACCUACAGAAUAUAUCAACUGUAUGUUCUUAGGUCCUUGUGGCAGAUGCAAAUUAAAUAUGAGAAAUGCACAUUGAAAUUCCUAUGAAUGCAUCAUUUUGCAAAAUGAGCUUUACAAAUUCCAUAUUUUAUGCAACCCCCCCCAAAACAAAAACA